rnacentral:rRNA from 1 species
UACGGAGGGAGCUAGCGUUAUUCGGAAUUACUGGGCGUAAAGCGUGCGUAGGUGGUUUGUUAAGUCUGAUGUGAAAGCCCUGGGCUCAACCUGGGAAUUGCAUUGGAUACUGGCAGGCUAGAGUGCGGUAGAGGGUAGUGGAAUUCCCGGUGUAGCAGUGAAAUGCGUAGAGAUCGGGAGGAACAUCUGUGGCGAAGGCGACUACCUGGACCAGCACUGACACUGAGGCACGAAAGCGUGGGGAGCAAACAGG